rnacentral:rRNA from 1 species
CUAGUAACGGCGAGUGAAGCGGCAACAGCUCAAAUUUGAAAUCUGGCGCAAGCCCGAGUUGUAAUUUGUAGAGGAUGUUUCUGGCGACGUGCCUUCCGAGUUCCCUGGAACGGGACGCCAUAG